ensembl:lncRNA
UCUGAAAAAGCCUGAUCUCAUCUGACCUCGGAAGCAAAGCAGAGUUGGGCCUGGUUAGUACUUGGUUGGGAGUCUGAAUGGGAAUACUAGGUGCUGUAAGCUUUUUAUUUGGAUCAGUUUUUCAUGGCCUCUGCACAACAUCCUGUUUUGGGAUAAAGGUUGGACACAGGUUUGAAGGGGACCCAAUCAAUCAAUCAAUCAAUCAAUCAGUCAGUCAGUCAGUCAGUCAGUCUUUUGAUUACACUAUUUAAAUAGGCCCCAUUUGGGGUCAGCUUUCGCUUACGGCCAUACCACUCUGAAAAAGCCUGAUCUCAUCUGACCUCGGAAGCAAAGCAGAGUUGGGCCUGGUUAGUACUUGGUUGGGAGACUGAAUGGGAAUACUAGGUGCUGUAAGCUUUUUAUUUGGAUCAGUUUUUCAUGGCCUCUGCACAACAUCCUGUUUUGGGAUAAAGGUUGGACACAGGUUUGAAGGGGACCCAGUCAAUCAAUCAAUCAAUCAGGGACCCAAUCAAUCAAUCAAUCAAUCAGUCAGUCAGUCAGUCAGUCUUUUGAUUACACUAUUUAAAUAGCCCCCAUUUGGGGUCAGCUUUCGCUUACGGCCAUACCACUCUGAAAAAGCCUGAUCUCAUCUGACCUCGGAAGCAAAGCAGAGUUGGG